rnacentral:rRNA from 1 species
GACGAACGCUGGCGGCGUGCUUAACACAUGCGAGUCGAACGGAAAGGCCCUGCUUUUGUGGGGUGCUCGAGUGGCGAACGGGUGAGUAACACGUGAGUAACCUGCCCUUGACUUUGGGAUAACUUCAGGAAACUGGGGCUAAUACCGGAUAGGAGCUCCUGCUGCAUGGUGGGGGUUGGAAAGUUUCGGCGGUUGGGGAUGGACUCGCGGCUUAUCAGCUUGGUGGUGGGGUAGUGGCUUACCAAGGCUUUGACGGGUAGCCGGCCUGAGAGGGUGACCGGCCACAUUGGAACAGCAAAACGGCCCAGCCUCCUACGGGAGGCAGCAGUGGGGAAUAUUGCACAAUGGGCGGAAGCCUGAUGCAGCAACGCCGCGUGCGGGAUGACGGCCUUCGGGUUGUAAACCGCUUUCGCCGGUGACGAAGCGUGAGUGACGGUAAUGGGUAAAGAAGCACCGGCUAACUACGUG